GUGCCAGCCGCCGCGGUAAUACGGAGGGAGCUAGCGUUGUUCGGAAUUACUGGGCGUAAAGCGCACGUAGGCGGCUUUUUAAGUCAGGGGUGAAAUCCCGGGGCUCAACCCCGGAACUGCCUUUGAAACUGGAAAGCUAGAAUCCUGGAGAGGCGAGUGGAAUUCCGAGUGUAGAGGUGAAAUUCGUAGAUAUUCGGAAGAACACCAGUGGCGAAGGCGACUCGCUGGACAGGUAUUGACGCUGAGGUGCGAAAGCGUGGGGAGCAAACAGGAUUAGAAACCCUGGUAGUCC
rnacentral:rRNA from 1 species